UUGAACGCUGGCGGCAGGCCUAACACAUGCAAGUCGAGCGGAUGAAGGGAGCUUGCUCCUGGAUUCAGCGGCGGACGGGUGAGGAAUGCCUAGGAAUCUGCCUGGUAGUGGGGGAUAACGUCCGGAAACGGGCGCUAAUACCGCAUACGUCCUGAGGGAGAAAGUGGGGGAUCUUCGGACCUCACGCUAUCAGAUGAGCCUAGGUCGGAUUAGCUAGUUGGUGGGGUAAAGGCCUACCAAGGCGACGAUCCGUAACUGGUCUGAGAGGAUGAUCAGUCACACUGGAACUGAGACACGGUCCAGACUCCUACGGGAGGCAGCAGUGGGGAAUAUUGGACAAUGGGCGAAAGCCUGAUCCAGCCAUGCCGCGUGUGUGAAGAAGGUCUUCGGAUUGUAAAGCACUUUAAGUUGGGAGGAAGGGCAGUAAGUUAAUACCUUGCUGUUUUGACGUUACCAACAGAAUAAGCACCGGCUAACUUCGUG
rnacentral:rRNA from 1 species